UCACGUUGUGGUUGGGUGUUUUGCUCAUGUCAACCUGUAGAGAAGUGCACAAUGAUCACAACGGUAGAACAAUUACACAAAAUGGGAAUCGGGAAUGACUUCAUCGAAGGCGUUUUGUGAAAUUUUCCACGGCGGUGGCACCGGACUUUACCGGUGUUUUUCGGUCAAUUGGCUGGUCUUUUUUUGUAACAGCCCCGGAAAUUCAUAAUGAAAUGUAUAU
rnacentral:lncRNA from 1 species